CGAGCGAAGCACUUUUGCAGAUUUCUUCGGAUUGAAGCAAUUGUGACUGAGCGGCGGACGGGUGAGUAACGCGUGGGUAACCUGCCUCAUACAGGGGGAUAACAGUUGGAAACGGCUGCUAAUACCGCAUAAGCGCACAGUACCGCAUGGUACCGUGUGAAAAACUCCGGUGGUAUGAGAUGGACCCGCGUCUGAUUAGCUAGUUGGUGGGGUAACGGCCUACCAAGGCGACGAUCAGUAGCCGACCUGAGAGGGUGACCGGCCACAUUGGGACUGAGACACGGCCCAAACUCCUACGGGAGGCAGCAGUGGGGAAUAUUGCACAAUGGGGGAAACCCUGAUGCAGCGACGCCGCGUGAGCGAUGAAGUAUUUCGGUAUGUAAAGCUCUAUCAGCAGGGAAGAAAAUGACGGUACCUGACUAAGAAGCCCCGGCUAACUACGUGCCAGCAGCCGCGGUAAUACGUAGGGGGCAAGCGUUAUCCGGAUUUACUGGGUGUAAAGGGAGCGUAGACGGCAUGGCAAGCCAGAUGUGAAAGCCCGGGGCUCAACCCCGGGACUGCAUUUGGAACUGUCAGGCUAGAGUGUCGGAGAGGAAAGCGGAAUUCCUAGUGUAGCGGUGAAAUGCGUAGAUAUUAGGAGGACACCAGUGGCGAAGG
rnacentral:rRNA from 1 species